rnacentral:rRNA from 1 species
CCUACGGGCGGCAGCAGUGGGGAAUAUUGGUCAAUGGGCGAAAGACUGAACCAGCAACGCCGCGUGAGGGAAUAAGGCUUUCGGGUUGGAAACUUCUUUUUACAGGGAAGAACAGACGACGGUGCCUGUCGAAUAAGCCACUGGCAACUACGUACCAUCAGCCGCGGUCAUACGCAGGUGCCACGCUUUGUCCGGAUUUACGAGGUGUAACGGGAGUGUAGCCGGGUUGACCAGUCAGAGGUGAAAUUCGCGGGCUCAACCCAAGAACUGCGUUUGAAACUGUUAGUCUUGAGUAUCGGAGAGGCAGGCGGAAUGCGUAGUGUAGCGGUGAAAUGCGUAGAUAUUACGAGGAACGCCGGUGGCGAAGGCGGCCUGCUGGCCGACAACUGACGGUGAGGCGCGAAAGCGUGGGGAGCGAACAGGAUUAGAUACCCGAGUAGUC